rnacentral:rRNA from 1 species
CCUACGGGAGGCAGCAGUAGGGAAUCUUGCGCAAUGGGCGAAAGCCUGACGCAGCCAUGCCGCGUGAAUGAUGAAGGUCUUAGGAUUGUAAAAUUCUUUCAGCGGGGAAGAUAAUGACGGUACCCGCAGAGGAAGCUCCGGCUAACUUCGUGCCAGCAGCCGCGGUAAUACGAAGGGGGCUAGCGUUGCUCGGAAUUACUGGGCGUAAAGGGCGCGUAGGCGGGUGUUUAAGUCAGGGGUCAAAUCCCAGAGCUCAACUCUGGAACUGCCUUUGAUACUGGACACCUAGAGUACAGGAGAGGUGUGUGGAACUCCGAGUGUAGAGGUGAAAUUCGUAGAUAUUCGGAAGAACACCAGUGGCGAAGGCGACACACUGGCCCGUUACUGACGCUGAUGCGCGAAAGCGUGGGGAGCAAACAGGAUUAGAUACCCUGGUAGUCCACGCCGUAAACGAUGAGUGCUAGUUGUCGGCAUGCAUGCAUGUCGGUGACGCAGCUAACGCAUUAAGCACUCCGCCUGGGGAGUACGGUCGCAAGAUUAAAACUCAAAGGAAUUGACGG